UAAGGAGCUUGCUCCUUUGAAGUUAGCGGCGGACGGGUGAGUAACACGUGGGUAACCUACCUAUAAGACUGGAAUAACUUCGGGAAACCGGAGCUAAUGCCGGAUAACAUAUAGAACCGCAUGGUUCUAUAGUGAAAGAUGGUUUUGCUAUCACUUAUAGAUGGACCCGCGCCGUAUUAGCUAGUUGGUAAGGUAAUGGCUUACCAAGGCGACGAUACGUAGCCGACCUGAGAGGGUGAUCGGCCACACUGGAACUGAGACACGGUCCAGACUCCUACGGGAGGCAGCAGUAGGGAAUCUUCCGCAAUGGGCGAAAGCCUGACGGAGCAACGCCGCGUGAGUGAUGAAGGUUUUCGGAUCGUAAAACUCUGUUAUUAGGGAAGAACAAAUGCGUAAGUAACUGUGCGCAUCUUGACGGUACCUAAUCAGAAAGCCACGGCUAACUACGUGCCAGCAGCCGCGGUAAUACGUAGGUGGCAAGCGUUAUCCGGAAUUAUUGGGCGUAAAGCGCGCGUAGGCGGUUUCUUAAGUCUGAUGUGAAAGCCCACGGCUCAACCGUGGAGGGUCAUUGGAAACUGGGAAACUUGAGUGCAGAAGAGGAAAGUGGAAUUCCAUGUGUAGCGGUGAAAUGCGCAGAGAUAUGGAGGAACACCAGUGGCGAAGGCGACUUUCUGGUCUGUAACUGACGCUGAUGUGCGAA
rnacentral:rRNA from 1 species